ensembl:lncRNA
AUGCUUCCGUGCAGCGGCGUUUCGAGGAUCAAAUUGAAGAGGGAUUCGUUUAAGCUCAAUAACAAAUUAGAGCCGAACAAACGCAGAUGGACUGGACCUAAAACUGUGUCUGGUUUAAAUCCACUUGCCGAUCGUGGCAUACAGGUUCAAGACCAAGCCAGUUCUCCAGCAGGUGUCGUUUACUCAGAACUGAACGCCAACGAUAUCUGCGCCACAGCCGACCGCGAACCACCGUCCCAGUUUGACGGGCAAGCGAGCUCCAAACAAGACCCUCAUGCGGAACAUGACUGCUGCGGAGGGGGUUAUAAUCCAGGUACUUUCCCAUCCACAGUCAGUGGUUUUAGUAACUGUCAAGGCGGAGGAACUAAAGCUCAGAGUACCUGUACUAGCAGUCAGCCCCCGUGCAAAAAGAUGCCGAGACGGUUGUCCGAACAUAGAAAAGAGUUUUUCUACCGUUUGCGUUUAGCUUUGUGCUUAAAACGUCGAAAUGGCGGGAAGCGUGUGAUAAACGGGCCGACAGAAAUGCAGUGCCACGCUCUGUCGUAUAUAAACAGUAACGUGUCGGUAGAGUCAGAUAAUAUUUCUAUUAAAUCCACGGUCUGUGGGGAAUCAGUGGAACAAUCUCCACCUGCCCAACUAGAGCCAAAGUACGACCAAAACACUGGCGGCACAGAUUAUUUGGGGCAAGAAAAGCCUCGUGCCGGGAGGGGAAGACCGAGGAAACUGUUUAAAGGUCAUUUUGGUGGCCCUGAUGGACGGGUGAAAACUACCAUCAAGACGGACGCUCGGCGAGCCCAUGCAAGUCAAGCCAGGCGCGCCUCUUCUGGACAAAAAACAAAUAUCAGUUCAAAACUUGAGCUGAGACGACAGCUUAGGUCAGACACAAGGAAAAACCGCAAACGAUUGGUGAAACAUUCGUGCUGUGCUUUGUGUGGUGAUGUAAAAUACAUUCCUCCCCCUAGUAAGAAUCUGGCCCCUUUACUCAGUCACAGAUCUAGAGCUGGCCAGCCCAGCCAGUCUGUGUGCCAGAAAGAUGCUGGUCAUAUCUCAGAGUCCCCAACCGCGAUGAAUUUCCGCUUCGAGAAAUACCCCAUGGUGAAUCUGUGCAAUGUAGCCAGAGUGUUUGACAUAGCCUCUCGUGAUUUCUCAUGUGUCUUACCAGCCGUACUAAGACAAAAGAGGAAGUGCAAAAGAGUGCAGUGCUUGAGGAAAGAAUUUGAUUUUCUUGUGCAUCCUCAUCUCCACGGCAUCAAGGAGUGUAGAAGUAAGAUUGCCAACCAGUCCUGGGAAGUUUCCACACCAACCCAUAGCUGUGCUUCUUUUUCAUCAGGUGAUCCACUAUCUGGAGCUACGGGCAGCACGUAUGUUUUAGACACAGCUGAGACUCCUGAUGGAUCUACCAAGGAACGGGAUACUUGUCUUGCAAGGAAUCUAGACUGCGAGAGUAUGAGACAGACCGACGUCGAAGGAACUGACUCGGUACUCCCAGGGUGUGAUGACAGUGGUCCUGUUUUGCAUUUCUGUGAGAAAGACAAGGCCUGUCCAAUGAACAACAUCUCUCAAAGUCCUACCAGCCCAGCGCGUCGUGUACCACCGCUAAUACUCAGACGGGUUGCUGUCAGUGGUUUUGGUUUCAGAGGUGGUGAUGAUGAUGGGGAGAACAGUGGUCAUUCACUGGAUGAAGAGAAAGAGGGAGACAGUAGUAAUGAGGAUUCUGACAGUGAAGUGAACUCGCCUGAGAGUUUCUCCUGCCAGCGAGUGCAAGCCUACAUAUUUUUCCCUCAAUCAUCAUGCGCUCGCACAUACAAAGCCUGGCCCUUCCCUAGAACGGGCCCUCCUAACGACCCCAGGUCACCGCUGCGCACUGGACCCCGCUGGAUUGUAACCACUUCAUUUCCUGCUAUCGUUCAAACUCCUCUCAGUGGAGCACCUGAAUGCUUAUCAGAUAAAGACAUUCAAAACGAAAUGUACAAACCCACAAAGCAAAGCAAAAGCAGCGAUGACACAAGAGAGGUACUGGAGGGGCAACCACUUUGUUCAUUUGUGCCAGGGGAGAACACAUUAGCAGUGUUGGAAAGGACUCAGAAAGAUCCAGCACAAAGUCUUAAUCCAAGUCGUACAAUGACACAGGAUAGUUUUAUUUCGAGACUUGCAGACCACAACAGUUGCAGAUUAGAAAGUAGAGACAUGCUGGAGCAGCAUCCUUCUGCAUCUGGUGAAAAACACCCCACUUGCACACCUGAAAGGACUCCAAGGGGUCUAGUGCACAGUCCAAAAGUAAUAUUAACUCAUGUUUCCAAACCUGCAGAGCCUGAGUCAAACCGAAGUCUGAAGAAAGGUUUGGAGGAUGUUCUUGAGUCUUCUGUACCUGUAGUGACUGAACAGGUUAACAUCUGCAAAUUUAAUGGUCUUGGCUAUGCAACAGCAUUAGAGGAGUGCGGUCUUUUAAAUAAUCAUUGCCUGCUCAAGAAGUCAGAUCAGAAAGCGUUCUCAAGUGGGUCUGAAAUUCAAGCUGAUUUCAUAAGGGAUGAAGAUCAAAAAUUGUCCAAAGAUGUUUCGGAUCUUGAGAUCAGUACCUGUCCUGUUAGCCAAACCUCAAGAGUUCAAACAAUUGAGGAUCAAGAGUGGAAUGAAAAUAGUGAUGGACGAACUCUCUAUAACCCUGGGUCGCUUUCGGAAAUAUGUCUUAAAGUAGAAAUGCUAAAAGCACGGCAUCCUCCUUUAGUGACGACAACGUCCGAAAUGGACCAGGAUGCUGAUGCCACACUGCAUACAGCCGGCAGCAAUCCUGACUGUUCAGGAGAAGAGAAGCAAAAGCAAGGAUUCGACAGCUGUACAGUUGCAGACUCCUCUUCUGAAGAUGAAAACGAACAUGUUACUAGUCUGUCAUCAGAUGACUCUGUGGAACAAGAUGCUGCUGUGAGCUCACAGUCUGAUGGCGAUGGGACAAGUCAGAUGAAUGAUGAAGAACAAGGCUACAUCCCUCCACAAUUUCCAGCGGUUGCCGAUUGCUUCCUGGAUGUUUCUCGAGCAUAUGAAGAAGACAUCCUUGUACUGGACGUGAUACAAGAUGAUCCCGAGUUAUUUGGGGCUGUUGUCUCUGAAACUGUGAGUGAACAGGACACAUCAGCAGAGGAGAAUGGAAAGACACCGCCGAAGAUAGAGAAACUACUAGCAGGGAACCAUUGCAAGAUUGUCUGGGACCUAAAUGCAGAUGGCUCCAGUGAAUCUUGCCCAACUGCUGCAGACAUCAAGAUUGAUGGUAUGAAAGAUGUCGGUUCUUUGACAGGUCUGAAUGAAAUAUUUUAAACCAUGUUAAUUUGAUUUUUGUUUCUGUCCUAAUGCUGAUUUAUGAGUAGUGGUCGACCGAUAUUGAUUUUUUUUUGACUGCCGAUAUCUUGGAAAGCAGGAGUGGCCAAUAGCAUGCAUAUAUAUAUAUAUAUAUAUAUAUAUAUAUAUACAUAUACAUACGCGGGCAAAUGUAUGAAGCGCAGCAUAAUUUUAAAUUACAAGUUUAAAGUUUAAAGCAUUCAAUUCACACGGACCGACCAUCACACAGAGAACACGCGAUCAUGCUGGAUAAAAAUGCACACUUCCCAAGAUCUCACAGCUGGAUUCGACUAAGUUUGAAUGUUCAUUAGUCAUUCAAAGAUUUGUUUAAAUUAUGUAAAUGCAUAUUUGCUUAAUGCUGAUGGCAAACGAGAAAGUAUUAUAAUGUUUGCCUUUGUAUUACUAAUAAUAUAAAAGCAAUCGUUAUAAUACUUUCAGUAUACAUUAAUUACUUUGUUUAUCUGUUCUAUCAGAUUAUUAGACAGACUUCUAUCUGUAUUAGACAGAACUGUUAAUGACGACAGAGAACAAGAGAACAGAAUGUGAGCACUGUGUGCUCAGCCGUCAAAAUAAAAGUCCUGCCUUGAACA